UGAGAGGUGACGACUACCGCGUGACACGGUUGGAUCCUUUAGAAAAACAGACAUCACAGCGACCUCUAGCGAUUUAAUUACUGUUUACGCGUACUGACUAGCAAAUAAAUAAUAUACUUGCAGUCAAUCAAGGUCGGAGCACUGCCUGGUUGUAUUCUCUGGCUGUACAAACCCACAAACAUUCAAAGAGUUUUCACAGGUCCAAUUGCUGAAAGAAAGGAAAGGUCUUCCCUCUAGUGGUGUACACGUGGAAAUACACACCGAAAAGGCCUACAUUUUGCAAGGUCUGAAUGCAGUGGUCUUAGCCUCCUGGAUUGUUGGGCAUGUGUCACUGAGCUCACUGGAUUCUGUCUCUGUCUUUCCUGCACUGGGGAAGCCUGUCAUAUGCAUAAGAUCACACAACAGGAUGAUGAAGCUGUCCGGUGGAUUGGAGAUCUGCUAAUCCGCUGCUGAAUUAGCUCAGGAGGAUGUCUCAAGGCUCUGGCGAUGUGGUGCCACUUAUGUAGGAUUGAUGGCAAAAGAUCCCUGUGCAUCAUCGUUUGGGAGCGAUCUAAAAUGUCAAAGGUGUCCUUUUGAUGUCGGGUAUGGGCCUCAUGCAAGGCAGCACCUGUGUGGGACGCCGUAUGCAUUUGUGUGUGUGUGUGUGUGUGUGUGUGUGUGUGUGUGUGUGUGUGUGUCAUAUUCACAUUCAAACUGUCAGGCUGUUCCUUUGGGAGCAAGGGAUACUGAGGAGAGACGAAUGUAAACUGAGGUUGUGCUCUCACAUGCUUCCUCUCUCUCUCUCUUUGUCUCAUUUAUUAAGUGGAGUGAUUGUAAUGGUUUGAGUAUUGAAUGUUUGCAAUGUUGAUCUCUUUGAUCCUGAUACGGUACAAUCUGGCUUACACUGAAGCCCAUCCCACUGUGUGCUGCAAUGCCUGUUUUACUAUCCGUCCAACCAUCACUGUCCUCUCCGCUAUAGAUGAAUGAAUGGAUGCUUGUUUAUGUGAACCUGUGUUUGUGGGCUGAAUGUGUGUGUUUCAGCAGCUGUAACGUGUGUUGCAGAUUCGAAUCUGAACUCAUAUUCACUCCAUCUGCUGGUCAAUUAGAUGAACACACAGAAAAUGCUUGAGCCUUUUCAGACUUUUUGAACAAAGCUAGCUUGUUUGUAUAAAGCUCUAGUACAAACAAGCAAAAUGCAAAUUUUAAAUACAAAAUAAAACACAGAAAUACAAAUGAGCUUUUAAUCAUACCAUUGGUUUUACUUUCUUAGAAGCCAGUCCAACAAACAAGUGGAAAAAUACCUGAAGGAAUUGUAUUAAUGUACUUAAUGAAAACAACCAAGCCGCAAAAAACAAAACAAAAAACACAUUACUAAUUCUCUUGCUCUUCGUUGUGUUAUAUAUCAGUGUGUUUUAUAUUCCUCCACAAGUACACAGUGUCUGGAGAGUUCUCUUAUGAAAACCGAGUGUGCUUUGUGUAUGUGUGUUGGAGGAAUACGAAGAAGAGAGCAGAGUUUUUCAAUGUGUUCUUAAGCGUUCUUGCAUUCUCAAACAACAUCAUCAUAAACUUCCAAAGUUUAAGAAGAACGUUUAAGAAAAAGGCUGCAUUUGUUCCUGAUAUUGCUAAUGCAUCAGAUGCAGACUUUAGAACAGCAGUCGCUCGAAAUCUCAGAAGUCAUUGCAGCUCAAUAAAGGAAUAGGGAAGUGCAGCAUCUUAUAUUCACUAUUAUUUACUGUUUAGAGAUAUUUCCCUAUAUGAAACAGUGAAAUUAAAAUUGGUUUUAUUUGUAUUGGCCAAAGUAUCUUUGUAAGAGUUUUGUACGUUACAUACAGUAUUUAUUAAAAAGGGGAAAAACAUACAGUUACUCGGUGUAUGAAUGUUGUAAUGUUUGUUUUCUGUAAAAUGCAUGUGUCAUGAAGUCUCAUUUCUCACAUUAUAUGUUUUACUGGUCUUCAAGUUUGUUUUUCCGCAGUAAUUUGAAAAGACCGGUCUUUGUGCAAAUGC
ensembl:antisense